GAAUCAUGAUGAAACUGCCAAACCUGAUACGUUGAUGAGAAACUUCAUACGGAUCUGGCUACUGAGUU
ensembl:snoRNA